AGAGUUUGAUCCUGGCUCAGGAUGAACGCUGGCGGCGUGCUUAACACAUGCAAGUCGAACGAACCUUCGGGUUAGUGGCGGACGGGUGAGUAACGCGUGAGAAUCUGCCCUCAGGAGGGGGAUAACAGUUGGAAACGACUGCUAAUACCCCAUAUGCCGAGAGGUGAAAUGAAUUUCGCCUGGGGAUGAGCUCGCGUCUGAUUAGCUUGUUGGUGGGGUAAUAGCCUACCAAGGCUUCGAUCAGUAGCUGGUCUGAGAGGACGAUCAGCCACACUGGGACUGAGACACGGCCCAGACUCCUACGGGAGGCAGCAGUGGGGAAUUUUCCGCAAUGGGCGAAAGCCUGACGGAGCAACGCCGCGUGAGGGAUGGAGGCCUUUGGGCUGUAAACCUCUUUUCUCAAGGAAGAAGAUCUGACGGUACUUGAGGAAUAAGCCACGGCUAAUUCCGUGCCAGCAGCCGCGGUAAUACGGGAGUGGCAAGCGUUAUCCGGAAUUAUUGGGCGUAAAGCGUCCGCAGGCGGCCGUUUAAGUCUGUUGUUAAAUCGUGGAGCUCAACUCCAUCACGGCAAUGGAAACUGUUCGGCUUGAGUAUGGUAGGGGCAGAGGGAAUUUCCGGUGUAGCGGUGAAAUGCGUAGAUAUCGGGAAGAACACCAGUGGCGAAAGCGCUCUGCUGGGCCAUUACUGACGCUCAUGGACGAAAGCCAGGGGAGCGAAAGGGAUUAGAUACCCCUGUAGUCCUGGCCGUAAACGAUGAACACUAGAUGUUGGGGGAAUCGACCCCCUCGGUGUCGUAGCUAACGCGUUAAGUGUUCCGCCUGGGGAGCACGCACGCAAGUGUGAAACUCAAAGGAAUUGACGGGGGCCCGCACAAGCGGUGGAGUAUGUGGUUUAAUUCGAUGCAACGCGAAGAACCUUACCAAGGCUUGACAUCCUGCGAAUCUCUAAGAAAUUAGAGAGUGCCUUCGGGAACGCAGUGACAGGUGGUGCAUGGCUGUCGUCAGCUCGUGUCGUGAGAUGUUGGGUUAAGUCCCGCAACGAGCGCAACCCACGUUUUUAGUUGCCAGCAUUCAGUUGGGCACUCUAGAAAGACUGCCGGUGACAAACCGGAGGAAGGUGUGGACGACGUCAAGUCAUCAUGCCCCUUACGCCUUGGGCUACACACGUACUACAAUGCUGCGGACAAAGAGUAGCGAUCUUGCGAAAGUUAGCUAAUCUCACAAACCGUGGCUCAGUUCAGAUCGUAGGCUGCAACUCGCCUACGUGAAGGAGGAAUCGCUAGUAAUCGCAGGUCAGCAUACUGCGGUGAAUACGUUCCCGGGCCUUGUACACACCGCCCGUCACACCAUGGAAGUUGGCCAUGCCCGAAGUCGUUACUCUAACCUUUUGGAAGAGGGCGCCGAAGGCAGGGCUAAUGACUGGGGUGAAGUCGUAACAAGGUAACC
rnacentral:rRNA from 1 species